GAUGAACGCUGGCGGCGUGCCUAAUACAUGCAAGUCGAGCGGUAAGGCCCCUUCGGGGGUACACGAGCGGCGGACGGCUGAGUAACGCGUAGGAACAUACCCCAAAGUGAGGGAUAACUGCUCGAAAGAGUAGCUAAUACCGCAUGUGCUCUAAGGAGUAAAGCUUCGGCGCUUUGGGAAUGGCCUGCGUAAGAUUAGCUUGUUGGUGAGGUAAUGGCUCACCAAGGCGACGAUCUUUAGCUGGUCUGAGAGGAUGAUCAGCCAGACUGGGACUGAGACACGGCCCAGACUCCUACGGGAGGCAGCAGUAGGGAAUUUUCCACAAUGGGCGAAAGCCUGAUGGAGCAACGCCGCGUGCAGGAUGAAGGCCUUCGGGUUGUAAACUGCUUUUCUAUGCGAAGAUUAUGACGGUAACAUAGGAAUAAGGAUCGGCUAACUCCGUGCCAGCCGCCGCGGUAAAAC
rnacentral:rRNA from 1 species